rnacentral:rRNA from 1 species
AUGUACCAAUGUAGUGGUGCAUCUAGGAGGAAGGGAUCUAGAGACAGCGAUGGGCAAAACAAUUCCGCGGAGGCAGCAAGACGCAGUUCUCGACAAAUCACUAUAAGCGCAAGGAUCCAAUGGAAGAAUUUGGUGAAGAACAAGGUCUCCAUCAUUUGGCGUCAAGGAAGGGGAAGACCAUGUCAUCAUUUGGCCAGUGCAGGUCCCCAUGCCUCUGUAUCUGCCCUCGAAGCCGGGUUCCGCGAGCUAAGAUUGCAGGGGAGAAUGAACGUGCAAGUUUGCAGCAGCAAAGGUUUUUCUACAUUUGAUGGGUAG